UACGUAGGGGGCAAGCGUUGUCCGGAUUUAUUGGGCGUAAAGAGCUCGUAGGCGGCUUGGCAAGUCGGGUGUGAAAACUUCAGGCUCAACCUGGAGCGGCCACUCGAUACUGCUAUGGCUUGAGUCCGGUAGGGGACCACGGAAUUCCUGGUGUAGCGGUGAAAUGCGCAGAUAUCAGGAAGAACACCCGUGGCGAAGGCGGCUCUCUGGAACGCAACUGACGCUGAGACGCGAAAGCGUGGGGAGCAAACAGG
rnacentral:rRNA from 1 species